rnacentral:misc_RNA from 1 species
UGUGCCCAAAUAUAGCACAUUGUUUACACUCGAAUGGUUGUUGAUACAUUUAUAAUCAGUCAGUUGUUCCAGAACUUUAUCGAAAUCAUUUGGUCAGUAUAAACAUACCAGAUCGUCUUCAAUCAGCCCUUGAAAGAGUGAGAUACAGCUGUUGUAAUGGCGAGGGACAGAGUAGAGACGUCAGAGUUAGAUUGGUCUAAUCUACAGGACCCAAACAAGAUUGUCUAUACUAUAGGAAUCUACGGAUGGAGAAAGAGAUGUCUGUACUUUUUGAUUCUUCUCAUUAUGAUCUUGGCUAUCAUUAAUUUAUCAUUAACGAUAUGGAUCCUGGUUGUUAUGGAUUUCAACUCUGAUGGUAUGGGUAAGAUGAGGAUCACUGAUACUGGAGUAAAACUUUAUGGUCACGCUGAAUUUGUUGAGUCUCUACAUGCAAAUGAAAUCAGAGCUAGUUAUAACAAGCCACUCCUAGUCCAGUCCACAAACCACCUUGUGGUAAAUGCUAGAGAUGGUAAUGGGAACAUCACGGGACAGCUCUAUUUAGGAGGAGAUCAAGUUGUUGCUAAAAACAAAUACCUACGCAUCAAAACUGAUAAAGACAAAGAGAUCCUGUAUGCAGACAAAGAUAAAAUUGUGUUCAGAUCAGACAAGCUUGAGUUUUCAAGUCCGUAUGGAGCACAUUUUACUGGUUCAGUAGAGACCCCUACAGUGAGGUCACCUCCUAAGCAGCACCUGACAUUAGAGUCUCUGACCCAGUCACUCCAUAUGAAUGCUCCUGAGGAAAUAAGCAUGAAGGCUGUUGCUGGUGGAAUGACUUUGGAAAGCUUGACUGACAUCACCAUGACAACUAAAGGAAAGAUAACACUUGAUGCAGAAUCAGUGACUUUUAAAAACCUCAAACCAUCAGGGAGUGUUAAAAAUAAUGCUUGUGAAUUAUGUGUUCAACCUGAUGGAUCACUCUUUCUUGGCAGUUCUGGAUGUAGCAAUCUAUGUCCAUAAUCAUAUAAACAUUUGACAGUAUCAACAACAUAUCUGUAUCCAGAAUUAUUCAUCAUUCUACUGCAUAUGUAAAUAACAUAAAAAGGCAAUGAAUGGCAAUAAUGUAUUAGUUGGUUGAUGACAACAAUCAUAUAUUAUCCUUGAUGUAAAAAUGUCAUUUUAUAGGCAAUUUUUACUUGUCAGGACUAGUGGACUAACUCAAGCAAUGUAUGUAUAUAUGCAAAGUAUGUAAAAAAUACAGUUUUUUUAGAAUAAUGUAGUUAGGUAGGGUUUUAUAGUUUUAUACUUUUAUAACAUUUUUAUUGAAAAAAUAGGUAUAAAAUCAUUAUUUUAAACAGAAAAUGGUAUAAAAAUAUUUAACAGGCCUGAUACCCAAGCAAAUUUAAUGCUGCAAAUAAUAUAAAUUGUUUCAAGGAAAGGUCAUUAGCGUAGAUAUUUGAUGCUUAUUUGUGUGUUUAUAAAUUUGUAAACUGGAACAAUCACUUGCAUUAAAUUUAAAGUAGUCUGUUUGAAAUUUGUUGUGUACCUUCAUCUUUUUUAAAGGUUUCAAAGAAAUAUUAGUAGAUAUAAUAGUAGAUAUAAAGAACUGUGUUUAUAUGAUGUGGGAGUGAUAAGAAAGCCAGAGCUGGAGGUGCUAUUUUAUAAUGAUAGUAGAUAAAGAGUGGUAAGAAAGCCAGAGCUGGAGGUGCUAUUUUAAAAUGAUAGUAGAUAAAGAGUGGCAAGAAAGCCAGAGCUGGAGGUGCUAUUUUAAAAUGAUAGUAGAUAAAAAGUGGCAAGAAAGCCAGAGCUGGAGGUGCUAGUUCAUUUAUUCGGCACUAUUAAAAUAUCUAGACACAUUUUA